AAAUGUCAUGUGUGUAGUAGCCACCUAUGUAAUUAUGCAUGUAAUAGUUUACUUUGGUCCGCCACCCCCAACCUCGACUAGCGCUGCUAUGGAGCCUGCGCCUCCAGCAACCCCUCGCCGCCCACCCUCUCGAACCACCUUCCUCGUUGCCGCCGGACUGGCGCGCCACCACGCCGCCCCCGGAUCCAAGCAAUCGUGGGUGCUCCGCCCCGCGCUUCCCGGCGCAACCGCGGCCACCUCCGACCGCCAUCGGACCUCCCCCGCACCAGGUUUGGCCGCCUGCGGCCCGCAACGCCUCGCAAGACCAGGGAUCCCUGCCGCAGUGCUAACCUCCGGUGGUAGGUGGUGUUGCUCUGCCCAAGAUGUGGCGCCGCCCUCCUCCCGAAGUUUCUCCGUCGUUCCCUCGUCCCCCACCCUGGAUAGCAGCGCCGCCUGACCAAGGAUCCACACCACCCCCGACCAGAUCCGGUGGAGGGAGAUCAGAUGGGAAGCAGCGGGGGCAGGCUACCCCACGGCAGUGCAUUGCUGCAGCCACCGAUCUGUUCCCUCCCCUCCUCGAUGAGCACCAUGACGGCGAGCAUCACAUCCGUUCGUGCAGUGCGGCUUCACGUAUUGUGCAGCUCUGCUUCGCGCGCAGUCUAGUUCGGGAUCGCCAGUUGACCGGCGCGAGCGCGAUGCGUGGCGGCUGCGCGCAUCUCAUGAGCGGUGCAUGCUCUGCCUGAUCUAGUGAGGAUGGGCCACUUCUUGCCUUGCCGCGCGGGAUGCCACUCUCUACCUACUCUCUGACGAGCAUGCCCUCUGUUCUCGCCGUGUGUGUGUCUGAUAUUCCGAUACGUGGUGUGCAGUGUGCGUGCUGCAGGUAGCAUGUGUGCCUGCGUGUUGGUUGGUACAUCUGGUCAACAGCAAAACUUCUUUCAUCACACUAUCGGCGAGCAGUUCACUUCUUUCAUCCGGAUCCAGGCCGAUUUCACUUCGUUUUUGCACCUUGCGUCAACGUAUAGUGCUGCUUGCCUAAUUCCACUGCAGUACAGCGAGGUUUGCGGCAUAGUGAAGCCCCCCUAGCAUUUUGCACUUCAAACCAGUCGAUGCGGUCCGCUCUAGCUGCGCCUGCCGUCCACCCCGUGGUCCAUUGCAAUAUGACGACUCGAUGCAUGCAGCUCGCACGGCGCGUGUGUGCAGUUUUCAGGCUCGCAGGUGCGUGGUUCUGCCGACGACCAUCACGGCCCAGCACUCACGCCGGGGGGCUCCUGGAUUUCAGCGCCGAGGUGUUCAACAACUGACGCGGAGAUGGGAACGGCCGCGGCCGCCUUUCCUCAUCAUCUUCAGUGGAAAAGCACAUCCAGUGCUUGCUCGCGGGCGUGCAGUACGGCAUCCGCAGCAAUGGGGUUCAGAAUCGUUGUUUGCUUCUUGGUGGCCAAAGGCAGCGUCAGCCCGUGACUCCGGCCUUUCCCAGCCCGUUGCCAUGAGCUCCCAGGUGAAGGAGGACCGGUUGUACUUGGCAUCCGCCUGUGAAAUGACAUUGCUUGGCGUACACAGAUUUUUUUCUUCUCACUGGAAUUGUUUUCACGGGAAUGCUAGAUGCUAGCCAGGAUGCAGUAUAGCCAGUGCCAAUUAGCAGUUUGGUGGAAGUAUAAAAAAAUGCUAGCGGUUCAUUGUAUUUUUGUUUUUAUAUAGUUCAAUGUCUCUCUUUUGCUCUAUCUUCUUUUUGAGUUCAGUGAUGUGGGGCCUGGACUUGCAGUGCGCCGGCGACCGGCUUGCAUUUGACUAAAAAUGUGGAUAUAUAUUUUAAGUC